rnacentral:lncRNA from 1 species
UCUUCCUGAUCCGGUGAGUACUCCUCGCCUUCAUCGGCUUGCGGUACCCACUGGGAGGGGAGACAUGUUUACAUGUUCUCACCUCCCCCACUAUUUUUCAGGUAUCGCCGGCGGUGAGAGUUGAGACGAGACGUGAGACACGUUCGUAGUGGUCGCUAGAGCUUCCGACCCAGGUUAUUCGGUUUAGUUUCUACCCNCCGCCGUCGGCGCCGUCGCCACUGGGAGGGGAGACAUGUUUACAUGUUCUCACCUCCCCCACCAUUUUUCACGUAUCGCCGGCCAUGGGAGUUGAGACGAGACGCGAGACACGUUCGUAGUGGUCGCUAGAGCUUCCGACCCAGUUUGUCGGUUUAGUUCCUACCCUGUUUACUUUUGUUAUUAAUAGCUUUGAUAUUACAUGGUUCAGUUGGUUUAUGUUAUUCGAAUUCAUGUGGUUUUGAAUGAACUAUAGAACUCGUGGAUUUUGUGAAAAGAAAAAAUGGUUUUCUACCCCUCGUGGUAGCGUUUUUAAAAGAUAAAAGUUUUUGAGUAGGGAACAAUUUUCAAAAGAUUUUCUGUGGAUUUAUAUUUAGACAUUGAAUGUAAAUCUAUGAUAUGAAUGGUGAAUGUAUGAAUGUAUAGUUAUCUCUAUAUUCAUUUAGUUGUGGUUGUAUCCGGUUUACUUGUUGUACUUGUGCGACGCCGUGCAAAUACAGGAGAGACUCUGUCCGUGUGAUAAUAGAUUUUCUGUAUUUGUGGCGAAUCUUGCAUACUCU